GUUAUGGAUGUGAGCAUUGUGUUUUGAGUUAUUGUGGGAAUCAUUAUUUUCUUCGUAUUUGGAACUGAUGGUGAACAUUCAAAGUGUUUAUUUCUAUCCUGAUGAUACUGGGCAAGUUUCUUAACCUCUCUGAGACUUCAGUGAAAACUACCUGAUAAGUUUAUUGUGAAGAAUAAAUGAGAUAAUUUAUGUAAAUCACCUUAACAGUGCCCGGUAGCCUAGUACAUAGUAAAUGAUAGGUAUUAAUAUAUAUAACAUAGUAUAUAAUAAUUUUGUAUUUUGGUAUUGGGUUUUGUAGCACCAUUUAAAUGGCAAAAGUCAUGUAUUAGAUCUUAUGAGAGUAGCCCAGACUGUAGCCAGUUAAGAGGAAAUCUUUGUGCCUUUUUCUUGUGGAGAAUAUUGAAAUGGGUGGAUGGAAGAGUAUAAUCCCUCCAUGGGGGGAUGCCACCACCUUUUCUCAUAGUUUUUCAAAACAAAUCCCAGAAAUUAUAUCUUAUCUAUAAAUAUUUCACAACUUAAGUGGUAACGUCUCACUUUUAAAAGCAAAACCACACUACCAUUACACACCCCCCCCACACACACAAUAAUCCUUAAUCAUCAUAUAACCAGUAUUAAGUCUUCAGUUUCUAGGAAAUUGUUAUUAAUAGCAGCAUUGAGAUGCAUAAGAAGUAGAGAGUAAAUAUAGUGAACACAGAGGCAGUUACUCUUUCAAAGAGGAUGAAAGAUUUCUGUACAAGGACAGUUAACACCCAAGUAGAUAAGUUUGGAGGUACCGACAAAUGGCUAAAGAAAAUAAGUGGAAAAGUAGAGGUAAGGUUGAAAGUAGGGGCAUGUCUUGCGUAUGCCUAGUGUUUUCAUAUGGGCAUAAUAAGACAGAUGUUUACUGGGGAAAAAAAUAGAGUUGAUAAAUAUGGUGAAAUUGCCAACCGUGACAAAGGAAUGACUCUUAGGAGAAAGGGUUGGGUUUUUGAAAUAAAAUCGAGAAAACAUGGCAGAAAAGAUAAUUUGGUAAGCAGGAAAGAGAGAAUAGGUGGUGAUACAGGCACAAAAUUUUAAUAGAGAUGAUUAACCAAGUGAAGACAAGUGUUUUCUUUUGGAAGAAAACAAGGUGGAGAAAAGAUAAGGACCAUCCUGUAUUCAAACACCCCAACGUUGUGGUCAAAAAGGGAUCAAUGGAGAAAUAAUUUAGGAUAAGUUCAUCGCAGCCAUUGUCUGAAUUGUUAAAGAAACUCUAAACUACGUGCGUGGCUGACUAGAAUUGCCAGCAAUGCCUAAAAUCAGGAGACGAUUUUCUGAGUGUUUUUGUACCGCAGCUGCACUAAAUGUACGUAGAGCAUGAACUACCAAUUGUGCUUCUCAAACCAGUGAGUCUAACUUUCUUUCUGUUUAAAAGAGCACCCGACUGGAGACCCAGAAAAGCACCUGGAUGUCUUUGCACAGCCUGCUGAGGAGAGCAUCAGUGGCCUGGCCUGAUUGAGGCAUGCCUGCAGCUAUUGGGAUGUGAUCUGCUCAGCCGGGGCCAUAAUCAGCAUUUUGCAGCAUCUCUGUCUCUCUUCUGGAAAAAAAAUUCUCAAAGGCAUUGGUCAGUGCUCUUGCAUCUCCGGCCCACAGGACAGAACACUACUACCCAUCG
ensembl:lncRNA